CACUGGUCGAGUGACCCUGCGCCGAAGAUUUCCGGGGCUAAAACUUACUACCGAAGCUACGGCAUCAGUAAUGAUGGGUAGGGGAGCUUCCCAUACGGGUUGAAGCAUGACCGUAAGGACAUGUGGACAGUAUGGGAGUGAGAAUGUUGGCAUGAGUAGCGAGAUGUGGGUGAGAAGCCCACAGGCCGUAAACCCAAGGUUUCCAGGGGAAGGUUCGUCCGCCCUGGGUUAGUCGGGACCUAAGCUGAGGCCGAAAGGCGUAGGUGAUGGACAACAGGUUGAUAUUCCUGUACUACCGAUAACCGUUUG
rnacentral:rRNA from 1 species